rnacentral:rRNA from 1 species
AUUGAACGCUGGCGGAAUGCUUUACACAUGCAAGUCGAGCGGCAGCGCGGGGGCAACCCUGGCGGCGAGCGGCGAACGGGUGAGUAACAUAUCGGAACGUACCCAGUCGUGGGGGAUAACUAUCCGAAAGGAUAGCUAAUACCGCAUACGUCCUGAGGGAGAAAGCGGGGGAUCGCAAGACCUCGCGCGAUUGGAGCGGCCGAUAUCGGAUUAGCUAGUUGGUGGGGUAAAGGCUCACCAAGGCGACGAUCCGUAGCGGGUCUGAGAGGACGACCCGCCACACUGGAACUGAGACACGGUCCAGACUCCUACGGGAGGCAGCAGUGGGGAAUUUUGGACAAUAGGGGGCGAACCCUCGAUCCACGCCAUUCCGCGUGAGUGAAGAAGGCC